GGCUCAAUGGUCUAGAGGUAUGAUUCUCGCUUCGGGCCUUCAAAACUCCCCCCAGUUGACCUGGGCUUCCCGAAAGGGAAAUUGCGAGAGGUCCCGCGUUCGACUCGCGGUUGAGCCC